rnacentral:rRNA from 1 species
CGACCGGCGCACGGGUGCGUAACGCGUAUGCAACCUACCUUAACGAGGGGGAUAACACUGAGAAAUUGGUACUAAUACCCCAUAAUAUCAUAGAAGGCAUCUUUUAUGGUUGAAAAUUCCGAUGGUUAGAGAUGGGCAUGCGUUGUAUUAGCUAGUUGGUGGGGUAACGGCUCACCAAGGCGACGAUACAUAGGGGGACUGAGAGGUUAACCCCCCACACUGGUACUGAGACACGGACCAG